rnacentral:rRNA from 1 species
GUUUUCAAAGGAACGCUGGUACCGCAUACGUCCUACUGUUGAAAGUGGGGGAUCUUCAGACCUCACGCUAUCAGAUGAUCCUAGGUCGAAUUACCCACUUGGUGAGGUAAAGGCUCACCGGUGCCACCAUCCCUAAGUGGUCUGACAGGACCAUCCUUCGACUUGAACUGACACACGGUCCCUACUCCUACGGGAGGCCUCCUUGGGGAAUAUUGGACAAUGGGCCAAACCCUGAUCCAGCCAUGCCGCGUGUGUGAAGAAGGUCUUCUGAUUGUAAAUUUCUUUAAGUUGGGAGGAAGGGCAGUAAGUUAAUACCUUGCUGUUUUGACGUUACCAACAGAAUAAGCACCGGCUAACUUCGUGCCAGCAACCGCGGUAAUACGAACGGUGCAAGCGUUAAUCGGAAUUACUGGGCGUAAAAUUCGCGUAGGUGGUUCGUUAAGUUGGAUGUGAUAGCCCCGGGCUCAACCUGCGAACUGCAUCCAAAACUGGCGAGCUAGAGUAUGGCAGACUGUGGUGGAAUUUCCUGUGUAGCAGUGAAAUGCGUAGAUAUAAGAAGGAACACCAUUGGCGAAAGCGACCACGUGGGCUGAUACUGACACUGAUGUGCGAAAGCGUGGGGAGCAAAACACGAUUGAGAUACCCUGGUAGUCCACGCCGUAAACGAUCGUCGACUAAACCGUUGGAGAUCCUUGAGGAU